UACAGAGGUCCCAAGCGUUGUUCGGAUUCAUUGGGCGUAAAGGGCGCGUAGGCGGUCCGGUAAGCGUGUGGUGAAAGCUCGGGGCUCAACCCCGAGUCGGCCAUGCGAACUGCGGGACUGGAGCAUGUCAGAGGCAGGCGGAAUUCCGGGUGUAGCGGUGGAAUGCGUAGAGAUCCGGAAGAACACCGGUGGCGAAGGCGGCCUGCUGGGACAUUGCUGACGCUGAGGCGCGACAGCGUGGGGAGCAAACAGG
rnacentral:rRNA from 1 species